GCAAAAUUUAACUCAAUAUAACAAGAAGUCUUAAUCCUGAAUGCUAUAGGAACAAGAAAUGGUCUUCUGGUUGCAAUCUAGAAACAGGACCAGGAAGUCCUUCUGAUGGGGUUGGCUGGCAUCAUUGAGUCCACAGUAGAGAAAACUGAUACCUAACCUGAAGAACUGCCCUAAAAAGAGGGGUUACAGCAUCUGCAUCCCAGAUUGUGGGAACAGAGAUGGCCCAGACAAGGCAGACUCCCUGUGGCUCAAAAGCUAAAAGCAGAACCAAGAGGCCAUAGCAGAGUGAGGGAGUGAUCAUGCACUCUGUAUCUGUCAAAACUAUUGUAAAACCAGUUUUUCUGCAAUCAAGUCAAAGAACAGUUCCUGAAAACAAUGUCAAAAACAACUACAGCUGGAAAUUCCCCAACUGACCACCAAUAGGUUACCUGGUGCCAGCCAAUUACCUGGAAUCAGCCAACUAAGAGAGACUGGUUAUUUGGGAGAUCAAAGGUUUUCCAAUCAAGACUGUGUUCCUCACUCCCUGACUCCUCUUCUGGCCUGCAAUCUUCAUCUUUAUGAUAUAUAACUCUCCAAUCCCCUCCUUAGAGUGCACUUUUGUUUUGCACUGAAGGCUGUCUCCUCAAUCUGCAGGUUGCUUUUAGAAAAUAAAGUUCUCCUUUUGCCUCCACAAGAGAUCUCAUUGCUCUUUUGUUAACAUUUCAAAUGCAACAGAAUAUU
rnacentral:lncRNA from 1 species